UCAAACGGUAUUCCUGAGUGAAUAAUAAAAAUGAGUCCAUUCUAUUAUUGCUCGAGAAUACCCUUUGA
rfam:Caenorhabditis briggsae complete genome, chrII